rnacentral:rRNA from 1 species
GACGAACGCUGGCGGCGUGCUUAACACAUGCAAGUCGAACGGAAAGGCCCUGCUUUUGUGGGGUGCUCGAGUGGCGAACGGGUGAGUAACACGUGAGUAACCUGCACUUGACUUUGGGAUAACUUCAGGAAACUGGGGCUAAUACCGGAUAGGAGCUCCUGCUGCAUGGUGGGGGUUGGAAAGUUUCGGCGGUUGGGGAUGGACUCGCGGCUUAUCAGCUUGUUGGUGGGGUAGUGGCUUACCAAGGCUUUGACGGGUAGCCGGCCUGGGAGGGUGACCGGCCACAUUGGGACUGAGAUACGGCCCAGACUCCUACGGGAGGCAGCAGUGGGGAAUAUUGCACAAUGGGCGGAAGCCUGAUGCAGCAACGCCGCGUGCGGGAUGACGGCCUUCGGGUUGUAAACCGCUUUCGCCGGUGACGAAGCGUGAGUGACGGUAAUGGGUAAAGAAGCACCGGCUAACUACGUG